rnacentral:rRNA from 1 species
CCCCAGCGCCACAAGUGGGAGUCGCUUUUAUUGGGCCUAAAGCGUUCGUAGCCCGUUUUGUAAGUCUUUUGUGAAAUUGUUGGGCUUAACCCAACAGCGUGCAAGAGAGACUGCAUUUCUAGAGACCGGGAGGAGUAUGGGGUAUUCCAUGGGGAACGGUAAAAUGUAAUAAUCCAUGGAGGACCACCAGUGGCGAAGGCGCCAUACUAGAACGGAUCUGACGGUGAGGAACGAAGGCCAGGGGAGCAAAACG